GCUUCCCAAAUUCACGGUUGCAUUGUUUUCCCUGGGCAGACUUCUCUUGUCAUCUUUCUCAAAUUUUCUUUCCCCCUAGGGUUCCGGGCUAGGGUUUCGUUCUUGCCUGCGUAUUGUGGUUCUGCGCGUUUCAUUUCCAUGGCAUCAUUCUCUUUCCGGCUUGCAAUGGCGGGGAUUGAAUCUUCUGAGUUGGCGACUCUGGAUGAGAAAAGUGUUCGAGCAGUUGAUUUUCUCAUCUGCUCGUCCUCUUCGCCAUUAAGAUUACUUCAGUAUUUUUGAAUUAUCAGCGUUCCACUAUGAAGUUUUGGACUAGUUGAUUUUCUUAUCAGCUUUCGUCGUCUUCGCCUGUAGGAUUACUUCAUUAUUUUCUAAUUAUCUACAUUCACAACAAAGGUGAUUCUGGAGCAGAAAAGUUUCGGAGUUGAUUUUCUUAUGAGCUCGUCUUCUUCGCCAAUAAGAUUACUUCAGAAUUUUCGAAUUAUCUGCAUUCACAACAGAGGUAUUAGGGUAAACCCUUGUGUACUUUAACAGCCUGCUACUCUGUAAAUAUCAUAUUAGUAAAGAUGAGAAGUCUUUCAUUAUCGUCGGAAUUUGAAGACGUCUUCACGUUGCUUGCGAAGAACAGUUCAGAAAUGCUAAUUUCCUUUUGUGUUUUUUUAAGAGUUUUUUCUUAACUUCUAUUUGAUUAUUAAAAAAGUUCCACCAACGGAGAAAUAUGUUAAAACGAUGCAUGUAUGGUAUCUGAAUCCUAGUCUUACCUUACGAAAUAGUUCUUUUAUAAGUGCUUUAUCAACAAAAUUGCAAUGCUCUCGGUAUGGUAUUGGUAAGAAAUCUAUAUAAUUUUACAUUAUGAAGGUCAUGGAUGAGAGGUGCAUUGGAUAGAAAAUAAUUGUUAAAGUUUCUGGACUAGUUAAAAAUGGCUCAAUGCAUUGCUCUUAGUAUGGUAUCAGGUUUCUUAGCCAACUUAAGAAAUGGCCCAUUCCCCCAUUUUUAACUGAGGUUUUUGUUUCUGGCUUUGUUAUUGAUCCCUGUUUAAAUUUUGCCCAUCUCAGUGCUGAGCUCUAGGAUGACAAGCCAAUAUCCCUCUAAAGCUUAGCCUGGUCUAAAUUAGUAAUUUUGUCCACUUGAGUCUCGAGAAAGAUUCGAGUUCAAUAAUUAUCCUUCCAGCAGAAGUGCAUUUUGACAAUUCAAUUCAGAAAUGUUUGUUUCACACAGGGAAGGGAACUCCGCAACUCAUGAACUUGCAUGCAGGACCUUUGUACGGAAUCUGGAAAUGGUUUGGCUGGAAGACCGCCUGUUGUUUGUAGCUUGAAUUUAUGUAUUUGUUUUUUAUGUAAAAAAAUACAAAUUUCAUUGUUUUGUAUGAAUUCUAAUGUCUAAGUUUCAACUAACUAAUUUGAGCAAUAAUUUGUUCAUUAACAUU